UUAAUCUAAGUGGUUUUAAUAUUAUGGAUUUAGAUUUAGAUUACUGUACAUUUGACAAGCUACACAAUCUAAACGUGACAUUAAUUUCACACGAUUUGUGUUUCAAGUAACUUUUGUAUAUUUUAGAUCUAUCUUUACUUUCUACUUAAUUGCAUGAACGCAGAACAUUAGAAUUGUGAGUGUUUGUCACACCUAUUUGGCAUUUAUGAAAAGGGUACUAAUUUUGGACCAAACAGGAAGCAUGAUACCUUUGUUUGUAGGGAAAAGCACUUUAAUAUAUGUCAAUACUUUUUCCAACAAUGAACUUGGCUGAAUCAUUUACAGUACUAUUUCCAAUUAUGAAUUGCAUUUGUUUCAUGAACUAAGGCUUGAUAUCUUGCACAUUAAUUGUUUCAUGAUCAAUCAACUUCAUACACACACUACUUUCAUUGCCAUAAAUUUUUUGUGAAAUUUCUUUAAAGCAUAGUACAUUAGUACUUUAUAUGAACAAAGACACUAAAAGGCAUACAUAAAACUUUGUUGCAUCAUUUGUGAUCUGGAUUAUACCUGAUCGAAUGACAACUGCGUCUUCUCCUGUGUUGAAAGUCAAUUAUAUGUAUGUAAUUAAUAUUAUUAUUAUUAUUAUUAUUGUGUCAUCAAGCUAAGUAGGAAUAUUCUAAAUUAGGAUAUAACUAUGUAUAUAGAGAAAGUUAAGGCCUAGGGAGAUCACAGAAUUAUCUCCACUUAAUUUCUGUCAUGAUUAGCAUAAUCUUUUUCCUGUUUUAGAGUCCUAGUUCAGUCUAUAAAUUGGUGUAAUGUACAGAGAAAAUAAUCAAGCAAAUACAUUUCAUUCUAUUGUGUUUCUUCUUAUAUCCUGAUUCUAGCUUGAACAACAAUUCAGGACCUUGCAAUUUUUGCAAAGAAAAUUGCAUUGCCAGAAACAUUGACUGGUCAAUAUUUUUAUUUACACUCUGUUCAAGGAUAAUAACUAAAGAUGGUAGCCAACUCAUACUUGUCAACUGUUCACAAAUCAAAAGCAAGAAACUCACAUCACAUCUAUGCGACUAUGCGCAAUAAGGCCUCUCUAGUUGCACUUUGUACAUCACCAUUUGCAUUACGGCACAAAAACACAAGCUCACGAAAUAAAUGCUCUUGACAUAUAAGAAAGUAGCUCUAUGCAAAGACAAAGUGUUCUUCAUGCGGGUGCUUCAUAGCAUCAAAUAAGUUGAAGUGAAUAACACGCUUCCCAAACUCGAUAGAAAGUGUCCCUGCAUAAACAUCAAUUUUAGCUCUGGUGUGUUAAUAAGUCAUACAUCAGUUGUGAUAUGGUAUGACUAAGUGUUUAUAAAUUAGAGGCAAUCCUCACCUUACAAGCCGGUUUUGUAAGGAUGAGUUAGGCCCAAUAUUCAUUUCUAAGAUGAUAUCAGAGUCUAUCCAUGAUUCGUUUGGCCACUUCGUUGGGUCGCCUGCAAUCAGGUUUCUGAUCGGGCCCUCCGCCUUUCAUAUCCGCGCCUCAAGCCCUAUGCUCCUGAGACCGUUUGAUCCAUCUCGACGGUUCUCAUCCUCCCCAAGGCCAGCUAUUGUCAGUUGACAUAGACAGUUAUAACCAUCUUCCCCUAUAUAAAGGCAAGUUUUUGUGCCAAGGUACACAAUCCAAUCACUUUCACAUCACUCUCUGGAUCACAUAUUGACUUGAGCGUUGGAGUGUUAAUGUGUUUUGCAGGUACUUCCCCGCCGUGAUUCACCAUACGUGAACUCCAUUUCCACCGUAACUGUCUCAAGCCUCGCCAUCAGAAUCAUCUAGUUCUAAUCAUAUCGAAUCACAUUCAUAUUCCAUAAAGACAUGUGUGUUCAAGUAGAAGUUUUGUCAUCAAUGUGAGAACAUCGGUAAGAUAAUAUGCAAGUAUAUAUGUUGAUACUCUAAUUACUCUCUGAGCCUUGAGAGUUGAGAGUUUUCUAACUCUGAUCUGAUUAACAUCUUGAGACCAAACUCAUCUAAACAUUUUUUUAUUAACAAAAAGAAACUUGAAAUUCUUAAAAUAGAAAAGAAACUAGAGUUUGUUUUUACAAUGCCAUGCAAAUUAAGUAUCCUGAUACCAAGUCCACUUAAUGAAACUUAUUAACAAAAGGGACUCUAGAAAACUCAAAACAGACAUAGCACUUGAAGUUGAUUUACAAAUUACAUAUGCAGCACAUAUAACAGAAUCCUCUCUUAAAUUUCUUAAGCAACACUGAAAGAAUUUGCUGUACUCUCCACAAAUCUUCUUGCUCCUUUAAACCACCUCUUGUCUCCAGCUUGAGCUUUGCAAAUGUAUAACUUUCCAUCUUUCACAGUUGCUCUAAUUAUUUGAUGCUUGCCACCUUCAUCUCCAUCAGCAGUUCUUGUCAACACAGACAAAACAUAGUACUUUUUCCCAUCAAUCUCAGGUGUUGAACUUUCCAGGAUGUUUGCUGUGGCAACAGCGUUCGGAUCGAAACCACCCUGAGGAUUUGAAGUUCAUACUCAUUUAGAAUUAUAAGAAAUGAUUUUAGGUGUAUUUGUGUUUAGUUGUUGGUUGCUUACCUCGGCUUGCGUUUCGCCGAAGAAGGCCUGCUUUCCUAGUAAAUAAUUCACCUGCAAAGUGGAAAAAUCAAGUUUUGAUCUUGAGUUUCAACCACCAAGUAGCAACUAUUGUCAUUGUCUUAAAAAAUUCACAUAGACAUUAUUCUUUAUGAAUGGUAGGAACUUGGUAAGUACAAAUUUAAGAUAAGUGUAUUUUUGGUAUCACGGUGGAUAUUUCAUAAUCACGGUGACCCACGUGAUUCUGAUACAUCCACUGUGAUACACCGAUACCAAACAUAGACUUAAAAAAAACCACUCUAGUUUCGUAGUACUAGUUUACCUGAGAAAGAAAUUCCUCAGGUGAACCAUAGUCAGUGAUGGACUUCUUAUCAGUUGGAGUCACAGUGACAACGACAUUGCUAGUCGAAUCGAAGUUGUCUUCAUAUCUAACAACUUGACCUGUGUAUUCAACCUCUUUGCUAGGGUUCCACUUUGAGGGAACUGAUAAUUUGAAUCCAUCUCCAUUGUAUGGUAGGAAGUCUGUGUUUGUCUUUGGUUUUCCAAACACAUUGGCUGCAAGCAAAACAAUCCUUUUGCUUAUAAGCAAAAAAGAAAGGUUAUAAAUGUUUGUUGGUCUAAUACAAGAUAUAAGCAAAUUCUUACUAUCUUCACCCUAUUUAGGCCUUGUUUGGAUAAACAACUUAAUUUGCAUAAACAACUUAAUUGUAGCUUAUACAUAGCCUUAUUUAUCAUGAUAAGUACUUAUGUAUAAGUUCUUUCAAUACAAAAGAUAAAAUAAGUUAAAUUGUUUUCGUAUAAUCUAUAAAUUGUUUUCAUAUACUAUGUUGGAGAGCUUAUGAAAAUAAGUUGAAAUCAACUUAUGAACAUAAGUUCUCCUAAAUAGUCACACACGUGUUUAUGCCAGUAGAUAACUCAAAAAAGUCGAUCCAUAAAACUCUUAAUGUUAUCGUUCUCAAUCUAUCCUUCAAUUUACUGAUAUUUAAGUCAUGAUCAGGGAGUAUAUGGUUUCCUAAAGCAUUAAACUAUAAGUGAUCUUUCCAAUAUAAAAGUUAUACGGUUAGAGUUGGAGUAUUUUGUUUUUAAGCAAGAGUUCGGCAGGUAGGUAAUACAGAGUUCGGCCGCGACUCUAACUCUUUAUUAACCCUAAAGCAUUAAACUAACAAAAUACCCCAACUCUAUAACAUAUAUACCACUCUAACUCUUUAUUAACCCUCUCAGAGGAAUGUAAUAAAGAGUUCGGCUACGAGGUAAGUAAAGUCUGGCCAAAAGUGAUUUCCACAAGGAACUGAACUGGGAUUCUCCCGAACAAUUCAUCCUAAAGAGAGCUCAUUAACUACCUUUUUUUUUUAAUCAAAGUUCAUUAACUACUUAAACUCAACUUAUUGGUUUACCAUAAAGAAUACAAUUUGAUUAUGAGAAAGAAAGAAAGUAAAAUACCAGAUUGACCAUAGGCUGCAUGAGCAGGUGAGACCUUAGAACCAACAGCAGCAGUACCAAUAAGAACAGUUAGAGCUAACCGACGAGAGACUAUGCUGCUGCUGCAAUGAUCAUCCUCUUGAUCAAUUGCAUGCUUCUGAUUCUGAGCCUUGCAAACAAGAAACUGGUUUGGCUUAUGGCGUUGUGAUGAGAAUUUGGUAUUUGUAGUAAGUGCAGGGUGAGACAAGAAACAUUGAAUAGAAGAAGCCAUUGAAUUUGUGUAGCUAUAGCUUAACUAUCACACUCUCUUUGUUUGUUCUGUUGAUCAAAAGUUUGGUGAUUAAUUUAAGACAACGUUGUGAAGUUGGAAUUUAGUGUAGAAUGUUCGAGUAUUUUCUGUACUGUUGUGUGACAAUGACAAUGAGAUUGUGGUUGGUUGGUUUUGGAUUUUGUGUUACAAGUGGAUGCAUGGUUGGUUGGAUAAGGUAGUAAUGGCUCUCAUUGGUGCCAUGUCAUAUUGUCAUGCCAUGCAUAUGUAUUUCUAUGUCAUUUUCUUCAUGUCAAAAAAUAGUGCAGUCAUGCACUCGUCGAGUUUUAGGUUAUUCAAUUUUGAUCGGACAACUUAUAUUUUAUUUCAAAAUUCUAUAUUAAACAAAAAUAAAAAUUGUCAUAAAAUCUGAAUUAUUUGAUUUUGAUAGGAAUAUUAUGAAUUGCUGACUACAUCGGUUGCUUGCAGACCCGACCGCACUUAAUCCAAUUUCGUUUGAAAUACUUGAAGUUGAAGAGGAUAUUGUCAUCUCCCGAUUUACUUGGUUUAUGCGAUAUAUUUCAUGCAUGUGUUUGGAUCAGCGGUGAGACUUAAGAGUGACAAAUGGGCAAAUUUAAUGUUGGAAAAACUGCACUUUAUAAUUUCAUAAAAUCAUUGUGGUUCACCGUGACUUUUCAAUAUCACCGCUUAUUUAAACAUGCAUAAAGUUUAGUUUGUGUUUCUUUAUAUAGUGAUGCUAAGGUAUAUAUAUUUAAUUUGUAAAAGAUAAGUACACGACACAUAGAACAAUACAUGACAAACUUUUAAGGUUUUGAAUAAAUUUAUAUCAUCUUUUACUAUAUUUAAUGAACAAAAAAUUAUUUUAAUAUUUUAGAUAAUUUGUAUUUGAAACAAAAAGUAGUUAUAUAAUUUAUUUAUUUUUGAUUGAUAGACGAAAUGGCAAAAUCAUUGAAAACUCACACACACAAAAUUGUUAUAUAAUUUACUAAAUGUCAAUAAUGUCAAUCUCAUAUUAGAAGAAAUACACUCUUAUGUUAGUAGAAAAUUCCCUUUCAUCUCUCUAAAAAACUCUCCUAUCUAUUUCCAAACAAAGUUUUAGUCAUCUUAAGAAUUUGAAAAUGGAUACAUUAAUCCCACCACCUACCUCUAUCCAUAAAUGAUCCUUUAAUUGCUUAAAGGAUAACAAGAGAGUGAGAAGAAGAAGAAGAAAUGACCAAUUUUGGGAGAAAGAGACUCUACAAUUAGAUUUAAAAAUUCAAAAUAUUCUUUAUAAUUUAAUUUCGAGUAUAAACAUUUUUUUUAAUUAUUCAAUUACUAAAUAAAAUGUCCCACUAGACACAUACAGGGUGAGGAUUGUCUCUCGUGACAAUCCCACUUGAUAUGGUUCAGUAUUGAUCCAAAUCUUUCGUUCUUUUUUUUUUUUUAUGAUUGUACUAUGUGAAAACAAAAAAAUUUGAAUGGUCAAGAUUUCAAUGGAGAAAUAUUUUACGGAAGAGAAUCCCUACAGACCUACACAUACCAACACCAACUUAAAAAGUAAACGCAUUUAAGAAUAAAUAUUCAUUUGUAGAUAGAGAGAUAAAAAAAAAAUUAUCUAUAAGGUCUAGUUUAAUCACAUUAUCAAUAUUGUUAAAUUGAGUAUUUUCAAUUAGAUUCAAUUUCAAAACUUCACAAUCUCGUAUGUGAAUUUAUGAUAGUAUUUGUCAUUUAUCAUCUACAAAAGAAAAAUUAAUGUUAUUGAUAAAUUAUAACUUAACCGAUAAAAAUGACGAAAUUAUUAGAUCGAAUACUAUGAUCGAAGUUCGAAUUUUAAUUUUUCACUUUAUUAUGUGUGAAUUUUCAAUAGUUUUGAUUUUAUUUAUCUAAAAAAUAUGUCACGUUUUAAAAUUUUAGACUAAAAGUUGAGUUUUUUUUAAAGCAAAAGUUGAGUUCUUUUCUAUGGGCCCAAAAUGGAAUAUUUCCAACUUUAUUUAAUUUAAUUUCCUAAAAUAUAUACAUUAUUGCCUACUCUGCCACACCACACCCAUUUUCUCUUAAAUUAAUUAUCUUUGCUUCACUGUGUUCACAUCACUUCAUUCAGUUCAGUGCUCUUUAGCCUCAAUUUCUCUCUGCUCAUUCUGGUUUGAUCCACAAUCCCAUUCAUUUUCAUCUCUUUCAUUUCACUUUCUUUCAGCUUUUUUCAUCUAUUCAUGCUUCUUACAUGUUUGUUCUAUUGUCUCAUUUACUUCAUCUCUUCAAUUAUUUUUGUGAUUUGUUGUUUUCUACACUGUGAGUUAUUCAAUUAGCUGAAAAACUGUUCAUUUAGGUUUUUGCAUGUGUUUGUUGGAAGGAAAUUGAAUUUGACUUUGAAUUUCAUUGAUCUAUGCUAUUAUAUGUCAAAUGCAUUUCCUUUAAGCCUCUGAAUUGUAAAAGAUAAGAGAUAAAUUGAAAAGAAAAAUUUGGGGUUGCCCCUUUUGCUUUUCUGCUUUCAAAGUUUCAAUUUUUUUUUUUUAAAAAUGUUUUUUUUUUCUUUCUUUCUUUUUCUAGUAAUUAUUGAUCCUGGUUUGUCAAGUUUGCUUUGAGACUAAAGAUAAUUUUUUUUAACCAAGACAUUGGACUUAAGUGGUUAAUGAGUUCUCCCUAGGAUGAAUGGUUCGGGGUAACCCGAGUUCGAUUCCUGGUGGAAACAAUUCGUGGUCAGGCUUUAAUUACCUCCCGGCCUACCAUAAAAAAAAAACAUUUUUUUAUUGGUGGUAGUAUUUUUUUUAAUACUUUUUCACUUUUAGGUGUUUUGUGAUGUUUUGCACAAAUGAAAAGCAAAUGGGAACAUGGUUUAACUCACGUAUGUGUCGCUGAUCCUUGAUAUUGCAGAAAAUUGGGGUCAAAUAUGGUUACUGCAACCUCAAUGUGGUUGGAGAGAUAUAAAAAAUUUGAUAUGUUGCCACUACAAUUGUGGUUGCAGAUCGUUUUUUAAAACCUUGAGUGGGAAUACUGUCUUGAGCUUUUGGCUCGGGACAAGUUUUUGGAGUUCAAUUUUCUUGUUAUUGGUUGUGGUUUGUGCUUUGAAAAUGGAUAACACAUAACAUAGUAAGGUUAUUAUAUCGAUUAACCAUGUAAAUUUGAUCAAGUUUCUGCACAGUCUAGUCAAUUGCAGGAUUCAUGAAGACUAGCAUGUGGUGUGUGUGUGACUGUGUGUUGACUUGAUCCUAAUGGACUUAUCUUUUCCUAAAGAUCGAUUGUUAAUGUUUACUUUUACUAUCGAGUUUUCAUUUGAACUUUGAAGACUUUUUUGUGAAGCAAAUUACAAAAGUCACAGGUUUUCAUGUUUAAGUUUGAUAUCUUUUUUGUUUGAGUAAGUUUGUUUGUAACGAAUGAAUGCCUUAUAGGCUUUUGUGGAAGGGAUCAUUGAGAAAUAUACUAUUAUGUAAUUCAAAAUGUAUUUGUGAAUGUUGACUUUAUAGUUAACUAUACAAUCUUCUCUAAUGUCAUGAUUUUGGGGGAAAAUGCUUGAAUCCCUUACAUCUCUUACAUUCGCUUUAUGUUUGUUGAUUUCUCCAUAUAUGGUGAUUGUCGUUGCAAUGGUGUUAGGCAUGAUAGCCAUUACAUACAACAUUUAUGACGUUCUUUUUAUCGUUAGAUUUUCAGGAACAAUGUCUGAGAAAACUACAGCCGAAAAGCUUCUAAACACCCUCGUGGAAACACUAGAGAAGCAAAAAUCUGGAUCAUUCUUUGAGAAGCAAAACUCUGGGUCAUUCUUUGAGAAGCAAAAAUCUGGAUCAUUCUUUGAGAAGCAAAACUCUGGAUCAUUCUUUGAAGAUGUGACGGCAAACUCAAUGACCUCCCAGUUCAAUAAAUUGUUUGGACGCGAGAAACCUGUGCACCAUAUUUUAGGCGGUGGAAAAUGUAUGACAAUGGCAAUUCUAGUGAAUUUCCUGUAAAAUCUUUCAUAUUGGCUUCAGCUUUUAAAUCUGUUUUCUUUUUUACCCUUUGAAUGUUAUAGCUGCUGAUGUCUUGUUAUGGAGGAACAAGAAGAUCUCUGCUAGCGUUUUAACCGCUGCAACAGCUAUUUGGGUGCUUUUUGAAUGGCUUAAUUAUAAUUUCCUAUCUCUUCUAUUCCUUGCCCUGGUUCUUGUCUUGUCUGUACAGUUUCUUUGGACAAAUGCUUCCACCAUGUUUAGCAGGUUGUCGAAGCAUCCUUGAAUUUCUUCCUGUGUUGCCUUAUUCUUAUAUAAUACUUUACAGAUUUUAUAAUACUUUCUCUUUUUUCUGUGGUGACAGGAAGCCAUCUAAAGCUCCUCGUUUGGUUCUCCCAGAAGAUUUAUUUGUAAAUAUCGCAACUGCGGUUGGUACUGAGGUUAACCGUGGUUUAAGGGUUCUUCAAAAUGUUUCAUGUGGAGGAAACUUGAAGCAAUUUGUUCUUGUAUGUUUACUCUUAUGUUUUCUUGCCUUUGUAUUUUCAUUGAUAAUCCAUAUUCAUGCUUAAAAACAUCUAUCUCCGUCCCAAUAUAGGACUCUCUUGAGAUUUUUCACUAUCACUUUUUAUAGGCCCCUUUCAAAUUUUCAACUGUAUUAAUUAUUUCUUUACCAACAUUCCCCUAAUUAUGUUGUAUCUUUUUCUGCAACUUGUAAUAAAUAUUAUCAUAAAAGCAUAAAGGAAAAACAAUAUCAUGUGAUUUAGUCAACGAGGUCUUAUAUUUAGGGAUGGAGGUAGUAGUUUUUAAGUUGAAAAUCAAAAACAUUGAUUGAAUUUGUGAUAAUGCUUAAAACAUCUGUAGGCUGUAGUAGGCUUAUGGGCUGGUGCUGUGCUUGGGAGCUGGUGCAAUUUCUUGACUGUCAUGUAUAUCGGUAAGAGAUCUUCCUCCUUCUCUGUCGAUAGAAUGUGUUGGCCAUAAUAUUUCCAAGUUAUUAAGUUAGGUCACGUUUGCAAAGCAUAUUUUAAAUUUCAAUUAUCCUACAAAUCUUAUCGUUAAAUAAUUAAAUAGUUGAAACUGUAAAAAUAGUAUUUUAUAUAAGUUAUCUUGAUUCCAAUUGCAUAGUAUGAAAAAUUAAAGAAAAACUGAACAAAGAGAGAAGAGAGCAUGGAGAAUGUUUCUAAACUGUGAAAUUAACAAUCCAAUUCACAUAGUUUACUAAAUUAUACAUGUGUUUGUGUGUGGUCAUGUGGAUAGUAUAACAUAAAUAACACACACAUUUUUAAGUGUUUCAUGGUAAUAGAUCAUAUGAAGAACCAAAUCUUGUAAUCAAUACGUUAGUCAAUGUUGAUGUAUAUUAUACUGUGAGAAUGGAUGAUAUUAAGAAGUUCAACGGCGAUGUUUUCUAGUCAAUGUUAUUUUGGUCAUACUUGAAUUUGAUUGCUAUAAUUUUGUGUUAUGUCCUAAGGUUUUGUUGCUGCACAUACUCUCCCGGUUCUCUACGAAAAGUAUGACGAUCAGAUUGAUAACUUCGUGUACAAGGUAAUUGAUCAGAUGCAAACUCAGUAUAAGAAGGUGGAUUCUGGUUUGCUUAGCAAAAUCCCCAAGGGAAAUAUCAAAGAAAAGAAGGUUGAAUAGGUUCAUGUUUAUGUAGAUGGUUUGAUUUUUAAUAUCCAUUUCUCACUUGUGAUGAAAUUGGGACACAACUGAAUUUGUUGCUUCUACUUUGACUCUAAUAUUUUCUAUGUUGGAGUCUUCAAAAUUUGUGCUAUGUUCAUUAUUGACUCAUUGGUGGAAAGUAGAAACCACAAUAAUUUCCUUAAACUCCAUCAUGUUUUUAGAUUAUAGUGGUUGGCAUAAUAUUUUAAGGGUCAUGUUAAACGGUGCACCCGGUGCACUUGUUAAGCAUACCUAAAAUAGAAAUAAAACAUAAAGGAUAAUCUCAUAUUUUUCUUAAAAAUGUUUUUUUGACAGUUGCUUUCAUAUCAUGUCCCACAUGUUUGGGUCAUCCACCAUAUCUUGUGGUCUGAAACAAACUAUGAUGCGAGGACCGCUACUUCUGCCCCCCAUCCCCCACCUCUCUCACACACCCACUUUCCCUUUGAAUUUUUUAAAAAUACCUUGUUCGGAUUCUAGAAUCCAAAAUUAUGUUUAGAUUCUAGAAUCUAAACCUAUGUUUAUUGAGACAAUUCAAUUUUCUUAGGUUGUUUACGUUGUUUUAGAUAUGAAUGCACUUCGUGAUUCUCCCGUUGAUGAGAAGUUAGAAAUUGUCAAAUUGCACUUAAAGUUGUGGAUUUUUCCCAUUGGUGCGAAUUCAGACAUUGUAGAACUUUAGCUCUCUUUGCAUGAGCGAACUGAUCCACAAUUUUAGAUGCAAUUUUUGGCUCUGCAACAACAGAAGAAUCAUGAUGAGCAUCUAUAUCUUGAAACAACGUAAACAACUUAAUUUCGGUCUUUCUUUAUUUUGCUCUUUCAACAUUGACAAAAUAUUUCUAUGCGGGGCCAAAUUCCUUGUCAUCUCAGUAACAAACUCUUUCUCUUUCGGCUUUAAACUUCCGGCAAUAAUAUGACAUUCUAACCAUUUGUCCAACUUAUGAUUGUGUAAGCCACACAACCGUAAGAUUCCAUUAUUGUGAUGCCAGAAAAUAACCUUGAAGUCUAAAUGGACAUUCACAUGUUCUUGUUUUGGUCUUUUCAGAUUUUGACUUCUUGUUGGUUGGUUUGUAUGCGCCACCCCUCUUACAACCCAACACAAAAUAUUGUUUCUUCUAAACGAACCGUAGUCGGGUUUAUCAAUAUUCGGUUUCAAUUCAUCGGGAGGUUUUCAUUUAUCAACCAUAACUACAAAUAAAUGACAAAACAUAUAAACAUCAACACAUAUCACAUAAUGCAUGUCAAAGAUACAAAACUUGCGGAAAAUUGCAGGUCUGGGCAAAGUUCAGAAUCUGUUUUCCGAACCAAAUCAGUUUCCAAUGCAAAAAUAUUAUAACAUCAAGGAAUGCACAAAGGAAUCAGUAGAAAACUAAGAUUAUCUUUAUGUUUGAGUCUAAAUGAGUGUGGAAACCACUUGACAAUGCUCCAAUGUCGGUUUUAGACCCCAAAUCCAAUAAAAAACGAAAACUUUUUUGAGAGAAAUUUAGAUUAAGUAUAGAUGAAGUGGAAUACAUUGGGUAAUAUCUGGUGUGUAUAAAGGACCAGUUCGAAAAAUAGAAUAUGAACCUAAGCGAACAGAAAAUGGAUUCCGAACUAGAAAAUGGUUGAGAACGUAGUUUAUGAACUAAGCUCCUAUGGGCAAAAACGAAAUUUCAGGGGGUCUGGGAGAAAGAUGGGGGGGGGGGGAUNNNNNNNNNNNNNNGGGAUUAUAAUUCACACAUUAAAGUUUCGAGUUCGAAUCCGAGUAAAAACGUCUAACCUAAUAAUAUUAUCAUUUUCAGUUGAAUUGAGAUUUACCGCCAAAACAUAAUGUUAUUCUAUUGUAUAAAAAGAGAGAUAGUUUAUUUGUUUGGCUACAAAGAAAGAUAAGUUAUUUUAUUAGGUAGGAUUAUAUGCACCAAAGUUUCAUAUACUACCUAUUAAAAUUUUGAAAAGUCAGAAGGGAAAUGAAAGUUCUGAAACAAGCACAUGCAUUACACAGUUGCAACCCUUUUCCUCUACACAAGAGGUCACAUUUGGCCAAAAAACUAAACCUAUCUUAACCCUUUGGCCUUUUGCAUUAACAUUCACCUUUUGAGAACUUAUUUGGUAUAUAUAUCAUUAUCCAUGUCAUCUAAAAUGUGCAUGUGACAAUAAAACUCAGGCGUGUGUGUAACCUCUUAAUACCACAUGUUGAAUGUGGUAUGCAACAAGAAGCCAUGAGUUUUGCUCAAGUUAUGGGCCAUAUUUGUCCAUCAUGUCAAAUUGUAUGGAGAGAAACCUAAACACCUCAGCCAUUGCCUCCUUUGCACUCUUAAAGAAUGUUUUAGUUUUAACAAGAAAACAAAACCAAAAUUUAAGUGCCUUAAUUGUGGUAGAGAAAGCAAAUAAAGCAAACAUAGCUUUCUAACAAUCUUGAAUAUAUUUAAAUUGUCCCAUUUAUGGUAUGAGAUUAUGAAUUACACGUUUUACUCAAAUGUUGCUUUUAGAAAUUUGAUUAAAACAAUAAAACAUGAUUGAAUGUAUGUAUUUUUUUUUAUAGUAUAUAUUAUAUAAGUGUUGGAGUAGAUGUCAUCUUAAAUUGUUUUGUCUAUAGUUCAGUAGUAAGAAUUUAAAUUUGUAAUUUCAAGAAUUUAGUUUAGUGGUAGAAAUGUAGGUUUUAAAUUCGGAGGUUCUGAGUUCAAGUCUUGUUAGUGCUCUUGAAAGAAGAUAAUAUAAUUAUCUUUAUAAGUGUUUUAAGAGCUCUAAGCUAAUUUGUUGGAGUUUAAAAUUGUACAAUCUUAUCUUCAUCGGACAAUUGAAAUUAGACAACUGUGCAAUUACAUAAUUUCGUAGACUGCAUAGAAUACGAGUUCAUUACCAAUCGUUAAUUGAUCUAACGGUGAUUGACGCUGGACUUGGUAGGGAGGACCACAGUGCGAUCCCCGCAAUUGUGAUCGGGAGGAGACUAGAACCAUUUGAUGUCAGAACUGACCUCCAAACCAGAUUAGACGUUCCAAUGAACCGGAUAAUGAUGGUGUAAACCAAAAAAUAAAACAAGAAAAAAGAAAGGGAAAAAAACGAAUACGGGUCCAUUUUUUACUGCAGUAAAUUUGAGUAAAACUUUAAGUGUAUAAAUAAGGUGGUUUUGAAGACUCAUUACCUCAUCUUGAGUCCAACACAUUUACUUCACAUUAAAACCAAGGACACUCUAUUCUCUAUAACAUUUUUGUGCUACAAUGGUUGUCUCAACUUCCAUGGAAUCUAGUCUUCCCAUGUUUCUCAUGGGAAAUCACUUGGCUGCAACUGAAUUCCUUAGCUUUUGCAACCAAAGUAAGCGUGAAGGCGAUGACGAUGAUGGCGACAUCGAUAUAGCGCCGGCAGCAUAGUUGAUUUGGCACCACAUGUAGCAAGGUUAUGAGGAAGCACACAUGAGGUGAGAAAUGAAGAGUUAUAGCUAGCACUUGUGUUUGUGUUGUGCUGCAUUUGUAGAGAAUAAGAGAUGGUGUAUUUAUUUAUAUAGUAGUAAGUAAUUAAUCUAUCUGUGUAAGCUUCUAUUAAUCUAUUAUGUUUGUUUUCACUGAAAUUUAUAUUACAACAAUAUAUAGUAGUAGUUGUGUUCUGGUUUAUUUUAUGGCAUAAUCUAUUAUAUUGUGUUCUGUUUCCAUUAAGUUUUGAUAUUUAACAUUACACCUCAUCAUCAACCUAAGAUGUCAUAUAUAGUCCUCAUAAUAUAUAUUUUUUGGUACAUAACUCAUAAUAUUUUUUUUUUAAUCUUUUGCACUCUGCAGUAAGUUACAAAUUCAUUGAACAAUUUGCUAGUAUAUUGUUUUCUUUCCCCUAAUUCUCAAACAAAGAGGGCUAUAAAUGUAUAUUGAACCAUUUUGCAGAGCUGAAAUUAAAUUUUCCUAUUGAUAGUUUGAUAUUUGUCAGUUUUUAAUGGCUAUUGUCAUUUUUGUCAAUCUAAAAAAAUUAAAAUACUCAAGUGAUUAGUAAUGGAAAGAAUAAUACCAUUAUCCAAAUUAAGCAAGGUAUUGACAAUGAGACAACUGCAGCUUUCUAAUUAAGUUACCAAACGACUUAGAGAAAAAAAAAAAUUGAACAACAGACUUAGAGAAAUUUACAUGAUUUGGACGAUACAUCGAUGGACACAAUAUAUUGGACAUAAAAUUUGGACACACAUAAAAAUAUUUACUUUAAUUAUUUAAAAAUAUAUAUAUUAUUAAAUUACUUUUUCGCUUUUGUGAGAGUGUCCAAAAUUUGUGACCACACAAGAAUUUUUCAAUAUGUAACGUGUUAAAGAAUAUAGAUAGUUAGUUAGAACUUCUAUUAGUUAGUUAGAAUCUCCACUAGUUUGUUAAGUUGGUUAUUAGUUGGUUAGUUGGUUAAUCCUCAAAUUGCUCUAUACAAAAGCCUCUAUUGUACUAUUUUCACUAUUUUUUAUCAAAUAUGAAUCCUUAUAUAUAAUUUUUAUUAUUUAAAGAUUUUCUAAAUUUUUCUCUAUUUUCCCCGAACCAUGCAAAUCUUAAAAUAACGAAAGAGGUGAACUUGUCUGGACAAAAACCUUAUACAAGCAACAACUCCUAUCACAAAAAAAAAACUGAAGCAAGGGGGACUUAUGAAAUCUAUAAUUCAAUUACAAGAAGAAUGUCAAGUUGCCAAUAAGUUACCAUCAAACUAUAUUAUAAAACAGUGAUAAAUGGCAUCAAUUGACACUUAAAUCCAAUGCUAUUGAAUUUGGCUCUAUCUUAUGUUAUUCUAAUGCUUUUGUGAAUAAUGGUAAGCAAAGUUAUGGAGUUAGUUUUAUUAGGAGAUAAACAAAUGUUGUUGUCCAUAUUCUUACGAGAUUAUGAGAGUAUCAAAGUUUUAUGCGAGAUCUCGUAUUUUUUAUUUUAUUCCAACGUGUAUUACAAAUAUUUUGUUAGACGAAAAGGAAUAAGUUUGUUCCUUUAAAAAUCUUCAUCAUUAGGGGCAAAAUUAGGAAGAGGAUGGGCUUCAUGUGUACACCAAAGGUGAAGAGCUUCUUUUGUAGCUCCCUCGCCUCUAUACUUUUCAUGCGCUCUUUUAGUUUUCUAUUUUACUCUUCAGUUACUUAAGUAGUGGGCGUUAUAAAUUGAUAAAUUUGAGAAGAAAAAAAAAACAUACCCCUUAACAUAAAUUUUUAAGUUUUACACCGGCCGCUACUUAGUAGUAGACUGAAAGUAGCGAAUUUAAUUUGCUAUUUAAAUAGUGAAAUGAGUAUUUUCAUAUUUCCAUAAGGCACUCAAGAAAAAUCAGGAACGGCAAAAUAAGCUAUCCCAAAAGGAUGUUUUCUCUCCCCACCCCCCCUAAUCUUUUAUCCCUCCUGAAUUUCCAAUUUUACCCUUGAAAAAACUUCGGUUUGUAGAAACCGAAAUUUUUUUUUGCCUUGAAAACAAAUUUCGGUUUCUAAAAACCGAAAUUUACUCUGAAUUUGCACUAGUAAAAAUUCGGUUUCUGCGAACCGAAUUUUUCUGCAAGGGCAAAAUUGGAAUAUUGGGAGGUAUAUAAGAUUCACGGGAGGUGGGAAGAGAAAACAUCUCCCAAAAGUGAUAGUCCUUGAUUCAUUUUGCUGAACAAUUAAUGUGGCCCAAUAUCGCAUAGGAUCCAUAUUUUGUCUUUAAUUUUGUUAUCUAUAGACUAUAGCACCCCCUCUCUCCCCUCCCUCCAAAACUCUCGUGCCCUCCUUGAAAUUCAAUAAAUAUUUUAAAUCAUAUCAAACAUUACAUAAAAAUGUUACGUUAAAUCUUAGACAAAAAAUUACAGAAAAAAUUCUACCUAUUGGGAUUGUCUCUGGUUUACCAUUAAAUCAAACAUUGUCCAUGUUUUGAAUUUGCCUAUUUUUAUUACCUCAUAAGUGUCAUUUUAAUAGCUGUAAAAAAAUCAUUAGUUGCAUUGAUUUUUAAAGUAAUAUAAUAUGUGAAGACUAAAAUACUCAUAUUAAUCAAAAUAAUCAAGUAGUUAGGUAUUGUAAGAAAAAGUUAAUAUAUGAUGUCUUCGCAUUUUAAAGAGAUAAAUAAUUCGAGAUAAUAAUUAUUCCAAAAAGCUAAUAUCUAAUUCAUGAGAAGAAAAAAUUGUAAGAACAGUUGAAUGUAAGAGUAUAAUAAUAAAAAUAAAAUAAAAAAAAGUGAUUACUAUAAUUUUUUUGAAAAUAACUUUUUCGUGAAAAGAUCAACAAUUAACAAAGAUAAGUAAGAAUGUAUAAUUGAAAUAAAAUCAUUAAUAUCAUACUAAAAAGAUAAAAUAAAACAACAGUACUUAUUUAGAAGCUUUUUUUUUUUUAAACAUAGAAGCUUUAUUAUAUGCAAAGAGAGCACGAUUAGUUUUUUGUUACUACAUACUACAAUUGGUAGGAUAUUUUUUUAAAUAGAGGGAAAUGACAGAAUAAACUCCCACGUAUAAGUGUUAAAGAUAUAGUUAGUUAGUAAUUAGGAGAAUUAGUUAGGAAUUUGUUUUUUUUUUUUUAACGUUAGUUAGUAAUUUGUUGAUGCAUAUAUAUAUAUUGAUGUAAUAUUUUACACUCAAUUUUCUUGUUAGUAAUAUUUUUUCUUCAUCAAUAUUAUACACUUUUGAGCUAUAUUCUCUUCUUCUCCCAUGAUGCCAUAUGUUUCUUAACAAUAAGUGAGGGAGCUGGGGUUCGAAUAUCAGUCAUGAUAUCCGGCCUAACAAUUUCGACAUCGUUGAAUUAGAAUUUGCGGAGUAUGAUUUGUAGGAAUUUAUCACGAGGGCGAUCAAUUUGACAUUAUGCAACAAAACGAUUGCAAAUAAUAUUUGACUAUGAUUGAGUCUUCUUAAUUAUUACAUAGUUAUGAUCCAUCCUGCAUUUGCAGUGUUGCAGUUCCAAAGGUAGUCUUCAUGCUUAUCUUCUCUCCCCUUUCAAGAGGCAUGAACAAUGCUAGUGAGUGUUUACCAAUUUUAAUAACAUCAUAAAAAUUAUUCAUGAAGAGUAGGGAAAAUUAAACAUGAAAACUACCUUUGAAAACUGGCCUUUUGACAAACAAUAUACAAGUUGACUUGAAAAUUGAAAUUAUUUAAUUAUGAAUCAUGCUGAUUAAUUUUUCAGGCACUAGUUAAAAAACUAAAAAAAAUGAUAAACUUUACGUUGAAAAUAAACAUCUUUUAUAUUUGAUUAGCUUUUGGUAAUUUGGAGUAUUUAUCUAUUAAUCAAUGACAACAAACUAUAUGCAUGUGAAAUAAAAGUUGGUUAUAAGUUUUUUGAAUAAGCUAAAUUAGUUCACUCAAAUUGGCACUAGAGAGAAUCGAAUCUGAGACCUUAAGGAGGACCACACUCACAUGUCUCAAAUUGGUUAUAAGUUAGUUGUGGGUACCACGUACAAUUUAACUUAACUUAUGUGGCUUAUACAAUUUUACUUAUGUGGCUUGCUCUCAAUAUUGGUUGUUGGGAAAUACCCCCAAAUUAUUAAGAGGUGAAGUAGGCCUCACCUUUAUAUUUUAAAAAUAUUCACUAUAAAUAUUCCAAGAUGAUUAUACUAGUAUUUAGUUUCCUUAACUAGUGUUACGGUGACACUAAUUAGCAUUUCUUUAGUCUAUAUGCAUACAUCUGGUGUGCCAUCAACAUUUUUACUCCAAUAAUUUGGUAAAAAAAGUAAUUCCUCUGACUACAAUUAUAAAUAAAACUUCACUUUUUAGAUUCAUUAAAUAACUGAUGUAUCUGGUUAUUAUAAAAUAAAAUAUAUCAGUUAAAAAAAUCUAAAAAUAUGUAUUAGGGAACUAAAAAAUAUUUGGCUGAAAUGAUAAAAGAUCAUUCUAGUAUAACAAAAAGUUUAUUGUUUAAAUUCAGUUGUGAAAAUGUAACAGUAUUAAAUCAGUUGGUAAAAAAAUGUAUAUUUGGUAAAUCAGUUGCGAAAAUGCAGCAGUAUUAAAUCUCUUUUUUUUUUAAUAAUAAAAAUGGACUAUGCUCAAAAAGAAGAAGAUUACAAAGGAACUAAACGAAGGGUCGCGAUCUCCAAAACAUCCGCUAAAUAAACAUGACUAAUGUCACUAAAGUGCACAUCAAAGAAAACACAUUCGUCCACCAUGCUACACCAAAUAUUGGCUAAAACAUCUGCACAUUGGUUUGUUUCACAAUACGAGUGAUCAGUGAUGAACCACAAUCUCUCAAUCCAACUCAAUUAGCGACAAAUCUUUUCAACAAGAGACAUCUCACUUAUACUUCCACCUCCAUUUGAAGUAGUGACCUUCACCACCACAAUGGAAAACAUGUAGCUCCACACGAUCAAAAUUCAAACCCUUCAAGUACUCCCCGCCCACUAAAAAAGUCACCUAGCCCAAUGAAUUCACUUCCUCUAAGAUACCACCACAAUAGCUGCACUGAUGUCACAUAACCAAUGGAACACUUGGCUAGACAAAAUGAUUAUCAUGUUUCUUAUUAUUUUUAUUUUAUUUAAUCAAGUAGCCUAGUGGCUAGAAAAUCCACAGUGUUCCUGAUUCGAACUCGGACUUCUGCACAUAAAAUGUGAUGUCCCUACCAAUUGAGCUAAGCUCACUGAGACUUCUCAUUAUUCCUUUAUUUCCAAUCAAAAUGACAAUCGGAUUAAUCUCCAUACUUAUGGACAAAUAAUAUGAUGUUAAGAAAAAAAAUGUAUAUUUGGGGUUGCUUUAGGUUUUGUACAAAAUUCAUAGUCAAACUCAAACCAUUACGCCACUAAUUACUUAACCCAACUAAUCCUUGAUGACACACUAAUCGCAUGCUACCAAUUUUUUUCCCACAAGAAUGUGUACUGCUAAGAACAAUCUUAGACCAUCUCCAAUAAUAGUAUCUAUUAGGUACUUAUAUAUAUAGUGUUAUUAGGUAUUAUCAUUGUAGCAAUACUCAUUGAGUGUUGGGUUGGAGGGAUUACUUAUUAGGUACUUUAUAGUGAUAUAUACACGUGAGAUUCAGUUAAGUACUCAAACUUGAAGAGUUCCAUCGUGAAUGUUAAAUUAUGUUUUGGCCAACUAUAUAUUGCCAAAAGGACCAAAACAAACAAUGCCCUUUUCUUAAUACAAAUUCAAACAUUUUUUAGAGUUUACAAAUUAUGCAAGAGUCUCUAUAUUUUUUAAAAUUUUUGAAAGCAUGCUCUUUGGGAUCAAAUCAAAAGAAAUUGACUUUCAGAUUCAUCAAAAAUAAAAAAAUAGUUUGACUUGCUAUUAGUCAACUAAUAGUUUAUUUUCUCAUGCAUGUAUAUAUCAUUUUCAUUUAAAUCUGUUUUCCAAAGUCUCAGCACGCUCUCUCUUUUAGUGAUCUUUAAUAAAAGACCAUAAAGAGUUUUCUUUUACAGGAAUAAAAGAGUUGAAAACCGAUAAACAAAAUGUGCAUUAUUACUAUUAAAUUAAUUUAAGCUUUUGUGAUUUAACCAAAUAGUUAUGCAAUUAGUUCAUAAAUUGUUUGAUAGAAUUGGGUAUGGUGGAAAUAUUAAAGGAAGUGAGGGUGAAUGGUUAUAUGGUUUUGCUAAAUGUCUUGACUAUGGAAAUGCGUAUUUAGCAGAGUUAUGAAGGGGUUUUGAAGGGUUUUUUUUUUUUUGACAAAAAGGGUUUUGAAGGUUCAAUUUUACUUUUGUGGAGUUACAUGUGGAUUCAUUAGGGGAUGUGCAAGCCAUUACAACUAAUGGAGACAAAAGCGUUCAUGGGAGUCUCUUGUAGAGAGAAUUCGAAGAUUAAUAAAUUU
rnacentral:lncRNA from 1 species